UAUUAUUUAUCAGCAGUCGGCCGUUGUUGUGUUGUUAUUUUUCCUGGCCAUUUGAAUUAAAUUAAAGUCAAAAUGUUUAGCCGUGAAAGUUUUUUUCCUUUUAUUUUUCGACUGAUUUGCAUAAGCAUCGAAAUCAUCGCCGGGGAUGGCUGACUGCCUGACUGGCUGGCGGAAAAGCAUGCGUUACGGAACACUCUGUCCACCAAUUAGAGACGAAGCUUCAUAGCUUUGAUGGCUAUCGCUGGCGUUGGCGCUGGCGCUGGCGUUGCAGUUAACGGUGAUGUUGAUGUACCGUACCAAAGCAGCAACACCAACAGUAACAAAAGCAGUGAAAGACUGAUUGAACAGCGAAUCAAUUGGCAGCACCAUUUCACAUUGUUUGCUGACAUCUUUUUUCCACCUGGCCCUGGCUCGUAUUUUGCCAAUCAAUUGCCACAUUGCGGUGGUCAUGCAAAAAGAAUGCCGUAUCUCUCCAUGUAAGUGUGCGCGUGUGUAUUAUUAAACAACAACUACAGCACAAGCAGAACCACUAACAAAGGCAUCGGAGGGCCAACACCAGCACCAGAGCA